rnacentral:rRNA from 1 species
AUUAAACGCUGGCGGCAUGCCUUACACAUGCAAGUCGAACGGCAGCACGGAGGCAACCCUGGUGGCGAGUGGCGGACGGGUGAGUAAAGCAUCGGAACGUAUCCUGGAGUGGGGGAUAACGUAGCGAAAGUUACGCUAAUACCGCAUAUUCUGUGAGCAGGAAAGCAGGGGAUCGCAAGACCUUGCGCUCUGGGAGCGGCCGAUGUCGGAUUAGCUAGUUGGUGGGGUAAAGGCCUACCAAGGCGACGAUCCGUAGCGGGUCUGAGAGGAUGAUCCGCCACACUGGGACUGAGACACGGCCCAGACUCCUACGGGAGGCAGCAGUGGGGAAUUUUGGACAAUGGGUGCAAGCCUGAUCCAGCCAUGCCGCGUGAGUGAAGAAGGCCUUCGGGUUGUAAAGCUCUUUCGGCGGGGAAGAAAUUGCACGGGUUAAUACCCUGUGUAGAUGACGGUACCCGAAUAAGAAGCACCGGCUAACUACGUG